UACGUAGGGGGCAAGCGUUGUUCGGAAUUACUGGGCGUAAAGGGCGCGUAGGCGGCACGGCAAGUCAGGAGUGAAAGGCCUGGGCUCAACCGAGGAACUGCUUUUGAGACUGCCGAGCUAGAGUGCAGAAGGGGCAACUGGAAUUCCCAGUGUAGCGGUGAAAUGCGUAGAUAUUGGGAAGAACACCUGAGGCGAAGGCGGGUUGCUGGGCUGACACUGACGCUGAGGCGCGAAAGCGUGGGGAGCAAACAGG
rnacentral:rRNA from 1 species